rnacentral:rRNA from 1 species
CCAUCAUUUAAAGAAAGCGUAAUAGCUCACUGGUCGAGUCGGCCUGCGCGGAAGAUGUAACGGGGCUAAACCAUGCACCGAAGCUGCGGCAGCGAACGUAUCACUUAAAGCGAUUCAGCGGGUUACGAUUGACGGAGCGAAGCGACGUCAAAGCGUAUACAAAGUCGAGUCGGUUUAAGGAUACGUUCGUUGGGUAGGGGAGCGUUCUGUAAGCCUGUGAAGGUGGCCUGUGAGGGUUGCUGGAGGUAUCAGAAGUGCGAAUGCUGACAUAAGUAACGAUAAA